AACGAACGCUGGCGGCAGGCUUAACACAUGCAAGUCGAGCGCGUAGCAAUACGAGCGGCAGUCGGGUGAGUAACGCGUGGGAAUCUACCGUACCCUACGGAAUAGCUCUGGGAAACUGGAGGUAAUACCGUAUACGCCCUAACGGGGAAAGAUUUAUCGGGGUAUGAUGAGCCCGCGUUGGAUUAGCUAGUUGGAGGGGUAAAGGCCUACCAAGGCGACGAUCCAUAGCUGGUCUGAGAGGAUGAUCGGCCACAUUGGGACUGAGACACGGCCCAAACUCCUACGGGAGGCAGCAGUGGGGAAUAUUGGACAAUGGGCGCAAGCCUGAUCCAGCCAUGCCGCGUGAGUGAUGAAGGUCUUAGGAUUGUAAAGCUCUUUCACCGAUGAAGAUAAUGACGGUAGUCGGAGAAGAAGCCCCGGCUAACUUCGUGCCAGCAGCCGCCGUAACAC
rnacentral:rRNA from 1 species